GGGCAGGCUGCUGAAGAGAGAGGAUACAGAUACAGAGGAUACAGACUGCAGGCUCUCUCCAAGGAGCUGCUACAGGCCCAGAGCCAAGGCACACAAAGCACCAGACGGAUUCCAGGCUGCCUGAUGAACCCAGAGAGGAGGCCGUGCCAUCAGGAGCUACGCUGCCUGAGGACCCCAGAGACCUCGUGGACCAUCACUGGCAAAGGCAGGGUAGGAAGCAGCCCAAGGGACUUAGAUUUUGUUCUGGUGGGUGAACCAGAGAACCAGUCAGUGUGUUUCGGGAGGAUACUUGAUGAUAGGUGACCUGCAGCACAGAGGGGUGAUGUGACUGUUCAAGAUCAUAUGAAGCAGGUAUCUCUCUCAAAAGACUAACUCACGCCAGACCUGUGCUCUAGCCAUUAAACCAUACUGUUACUUCACAAAUCAUUGACUUAACUUGCAGAUUAUUUACUCAGUCUGUAACAUCAGCUUCAGAACCAUUAUGUACUAUCAUGUAAUGGCAUCAAUAGGGAUUUAUUUGCUCAAUAGUACUUUACAUAAAGAUUCCUUCAGAGACACUA